rnacentral:lncRNA from 1 species
UUCACAGUAAUGUGACCAAGGAGGAGGAGGGCUCAUAUCACUGUGAAGCUUCAAACCAGAAAGAGACAAUUACGUCGCAGGCAGCCUUCCUACUUCCAGCUGAGAUGGACUGGAGUUUUGUGCAGCAACCCUCAAACCAGACAGUGAAGAGAGGAGAGAACAUGACUAUCACCUGCAGGCCUCCACACAGCAGACCAGCAGCACAGGUGUCAUGGUUCAAAGACAACCAGCUUCUCAGCCCCACAGGUCACAUCACCGUGCUGCACGGUGGAGACCUCUUCUUCCACAGUGUCCAGCCGAACGACAGCGGCAGCUACUUCUGCAGGGCCUCAAACAUCCACCUUCAAAGAUUCCUCACCUCCAGAAGAGCCUCACUAACUGUGCUGGG